rnacentral:rRNA from 1 species
GACGUAGGGUGCAAGCGUUGUCCGGAUUUAUUGGGCGUAAAGAGCUCGUAGGCGGCUUGUUGCGUCGACUGUGAAAACCCGCGGCUUAACCGCGGGCUUGCAGUUGAUACGGGCAGGCUAGAGUUCGGUAGGGGAGACUGGAAUUCCUGGUGUAGCGGUGAAAUGCGCAGAUAUCGGGAAGAACACCCGUGGCGAAGGCGGUUCUCUGGGACGGUACUGACGCUGAGACGCGAAAGCGUGGGGAGCGAACAGG